GAUCAGCACGCCGCGGUGAAUACGUUCCCGGGCCUUGUACACACCGCCCGUCACACCACGAGAGUUUGUAACACCCGAAGUCGGUGAGGUAACCUUUUGGAGCCAGCCGCCUAAGGUGGGAUAGAUGAUUGGGGUGAAGUCGUAACAAGGUAGCCGUAUCGGAAGGUGCGGCUGGAUCACCUCCUUUCUAAGGAA
rnacentral:rRNA from 1 species